GGCCGCUUAACUCAAUGGUAGAGUGUCAGAUUUCUACUCUGAAGGUUAUGGGUUCAAGUCCCAUAGCGGUCU
rnacentral:tRNA from 1 species